rnacentral:rRNA from 1 species
AGUGACAGGCUUAACACAUGCAAGUCGAGGGGCAGCACGGUGUAGCAAUACAUUGGUGGCGACCGGCGCACGGGUGAGUAACGCGUAUGCAACCUACCUAUCAGAGGGGAAUAACCCGGCGAAAGUCGGACUAAUACCGCAUAAAACAGGGGUUCCACAUGGAAAUAUUUGUUAAAGAUUUAUCGCUGAUAGAUGGGCAUGCGUUCCAUUAGAUAGUUGGUGAGGUAACGGCUCACCAAGUCCACGAUGGAUAGGGGUUCUGAGAGGAAGGUCCCCCACACUGGUACUGAGACACGGACCAGACUCCUACGGGAGGCAGCAGUGAGGAAUAUUGGUCAAUGGGCGAGAGCCUGAACCAGCCAAGUCGCGUGAAGGAUGAAGGAUCUAUGGUUUGUAAACUUCUUUUAUAUGGGAAUAAAGUGAGGAACGUGUUCCUUUUUGUAUGUACCAUAUGAAUAAGCAUCGGCUAACUCCGUGCCAGCAGCCGCGGUAAUACGGAGGAUGCGAGCGUUAUCCGGAUUUAUUGGGUUUAAAGGGUGCGUAGGUGGUUUUUUAAGUCAGCGGUGAAAGUUUGUGGCUCAACCAUAAAAUUGCCGUUGAAACUGGGGAACUUGAGUAUAUUUGAGGUAGGCGGAAUGCGUGGUGUAGCGGUGAAAUGCAUAGAUAUCACGCAGAACUCCGAUUGCGAAGGCAGCUUACUAAACUAUAACUGACACUGAAGCACGAAAGCGUGGGGAUCAAACAGGAUUAGAUACCCUGGUAGUCCACGCAGUAAACGAUGAUUACUAGCUGUUUGCGAUACACAGUAAGCGGCACAGCGAAAGCGUUAAGUAAUCCACCUGGGGAGUACGCCGGCAACGGUGAAACUCAAAGGAAUUGACGGGGGCCCGCACAAGCGGAGGAACAUGUGGUUUAAUUCGAUGAUACGCGAGGAACCUUACCCGGGUUUGAACGCAUUCGGACCGACUGUGAAAGCAGUCUUUCAGCAAUGACCGUUUGCGAGGUGCUGCAUGGUUGUCGUCAGCUCGUGCCGUGAGGUGUCGGCUUAAGUGCCAUAACGAGCGCAACCCUUAUCACUAGUUACUAACAGGUCAUGCUGAGGACUCUAGUGAGACUGCCAGCGUAAGCUGUGAGGAAGGUGGGGAUGACGUCAAAUCAGCACGGCCCUUACAUCCGGGGCGACACACGUGUUACAAUGGUGGGGACAAAGGGCAGCUACACAGCGAUGUGAUGCUAAUCUCCAAACCCCAUCUCAGUUCGGAUCGAAGUCUGCAACCCGACUUCGUGAAGCUGGAUUCGCUAGUAAUCGCGCAUCAGCCAUGGCGCGGUGAAUACGUUCCCGGGCCUUGUACACACCGCCCGUCAAGCCAUGGGAGUUGGGGGUACCUAAAGUCCGUAACCGUAAGGAUCGGCCUAGGGUAAAACCGAUGACUGGG